rnacentral:rRNA from 1 species
CGUAGGGACCGAGCGUUGUCCGGAUACAUUGGGCGUAAAGAGCUCGUAGGCGGCCACUCAAGUCGAAUGUGAAACCUCGAGGCUUAACCUCGAGCCUGCAUUCGAUACUGGGCGGCUAGAGUCUGGUAGGGGGAUCUGGAAUUCCUGGUGUAGCGGUGGAAUGCGCAGAUAUCAGGAGGAACACCGGUGGCGAAGGCGGGAUCCUGGGCCAGUACUGACGCUGAGGAGCGAAAGCGUGGGGAGCAAACAGGAUUAGAUACCCUGGUAGUCCACGCCGUAAACGAUGGGCGCUAGGUGUGGGAGGUCAUCGACUCCUUCCGUGCCGCAGCUAACGCAUUAAGCGCCCCGCCUGGGGAGUACGGCCGCAAGGCUA